AGCGAACGCUGGCGGCAGGCCUAACACAUGCAAGUCGAACGAACUCUUCGGAGUUAGUGGCGGACGGGCGAGUAACACGUGGGAACGUGCCUUUAGGUUCGGAAUAACUCAGGGAAACUUGUGCUAAUACCGAAUGUGCCCUUCGGGGGAAAGAUUUAUCGCCUUUAGAGCGGCCCGCGUCUGAUUAGCUAGUUGGUGAGGUAAAGGCUCACCAAGGCGACGAUCAGUAGCUGGUCUGAGAGGAUGAUCAGCCACAUUGGGACUGAGACACGGCCCAAACUCCUACGGGAGGCAGCAGUGGGGAAUCUUGCGCAAUGGGCGAAAGCCUGACGCAGCCAUGCCGCGUGAAUGAUGAAGGUCUUAGGAUUGUAAAAUUCUUUCACCGGGGACGAUAAUGACGGUACCCGGAGAAGAAGCCCCGGCUAACUUCGUG
rnacentral:rRNA from 1 species